AAGUUAUAGUCCCCCGGCCCUCUGGGCUGGGGUCCUCUAUACCACCCUUUGUUUAUUACACCUUUGUUGCUUUGGCAGGCCUGCCUCCGGGCUGCUGGCUCCGGCCGGCGAGCGCCUGCCAGAGGACCUAAACUCUGUUUGUCUAUACUGUCUGAGUACUAUAUAAUAGUUA
rnacentral:misc_RNA from 1 species